UAUUCUACUUGAGGAACGAACAGAACAAGUCAAAUUAUCUUUAUCAGGAGAAGUAUACAGAUACCCUCUGUUACUAUACCUAAGUUUAUUGUGAAUUAGGAAAAUAAUCCCAAGCAUUUCCUCAAAGUUCAGGACAUCAAAUUUUCAAACUCGUUCCUAAAAUAGAAAGUCAGGAAAUUCAAUGAAGAGGAUAAUAAUACUAACUUUACUCUGUUAUACAUGUGGAUUCAUUCUAGAGUGCGGAUUACGCCCUGGCCUUGUCUCCCGUUGUCCCAAUUGCUGGGAGGCAGAAACAGGUGAAUUUCCCUGGAUGGUUUCUAUGCAUCUCUCUUUCUCCCAUUUUUGUGCUGGCUCUAUUUUGAAUGAACAGUGGAUUCUUACCUCAGCAACAUGUGCCAAUUUCAUAAAAAGCUCAGAAGCUCUGGCCUUGGUCCAAGUGGGUCUUAUUGAUCUACAGGAUCCUACCCAAGCUCAGACUGUUGGUAUUGAUCGUGCCCUGCCCUACUUAGGACCCAAAGGACCUCUUGGACCUGGGCUAAUCUUUCUGAAGCAGCCACUACAUUUUCAACCCCUGGUUCUUCCUAUUUGUCUGGAGGAAAGUUUGGAGCAAGAGAAGAAUAUACAACUGUAUGACUGCUGGUUACCCAGCUGGUCCCUCAUGAGAGGAAGUCCUGGAAUUUUGCAAAAAAGGCACCUAAACAUCCUGCAAGCCAGCACUUGUGCCCAGUUUUGGCCCAAGCUGAAUGAAUUUACUUUCUGUGUGGAGGCCAAGAAAGCUAUGGGGGAGGCUGGCUGUAAGGUGACAAUUAAAGGGAAUGUGAAAGUCAGAAAUAAAAAGGAUUAUCCUUCAACACCAAGAUACCUCCUACCAUCCUUCAGAUAAUCAAUUGAUACUCUGUUCUGUUCCCUCUUUCUUACAGGGUGACUUGGGGGCACCUUUGGUGUGCCAUAUACAACAAAAGGAUACAUGGGUACAGGUGGGAAUCUUGAGUCACUUUGAUGAACAUUGCACAAAGCCCUAUGUCUUCAGCCAAGUGAGCCCUUUCAUUUUCUGGAUCCAGGGAGUUACACGGCUCAGCCAUGCACCAUGGUCCCAACAAGGACCCAUAACUACCUCUGCUUCCAUCUCCCUUUCAGUCUCUCCUGCUAGGAAUGCUUCAGUUUUAACCUCUACAACUGCUUCUAUUCGACCACACUUCAUUUCUCUGCCACAACCUCAGAGUAAGGCCCAAUAAAAUUAUAGUAAGAGAAGUAUAAGAAGGAAAU
rnacentral:lncRNA from 1 species